UAUUAGACUAAGUACCGAAUACUACGAUUUGGAUUGUUUGGCUGGUCAACUAUUCGAUCCGGACAUUCGGGCUCGAUAUCGUGGGUUUGGUCUCAUAGUACAAAAUCGCGAUGGCACAAUUCCGAGGGGUAAGCCUCGACACCGCUGGGCAUUCGGAACUGCUCGACGACACCCGCGUUGGACCCUCGCUCGAAGCAAUUUCCCCCUUUUCCCCGCCUGUUCCGUCCCUCUUCCUAGCUCCCGCACGAGGUUCCAGCGGCUGCGGCCCAAGCAGGAAGCAGCAGCGCCCUUCCUCCCUCCUCCUCCUCCGGCGCCGGCGCUCUUCUCCCGCGACACCGCAUCCCCGCACUAGACCACCUUGCCAUCCCUUCCCAUCUCUCUCGUCCGCGCCCGCCCGUCCCCGCCGCCGCGCCCUCCUCGUCGGCUCGUCGCUCCCGAAGAAGAGGACCGUGCGUACUGCGUAGGUUCGGGGGGCCAUCUCGACCGAGCUCGGCGCAGGUCCAACAUCGUGUGCUGAGCAAGCAAAUUUGGAUUCCAGCCACGAUGAUUAAUUCUUCUCAUCUUACUGUAAGUCUGUUCUUCUGUCUUCUCUCUGACCUGACCACCCUCUAUCUCUCUUUUCUCUCUGCAGGUACAUUGGAUUACCUCUUUUCUAUCUACAAUGUUGUGGCUACAAUGUCAAGAUUACAACGUUGUGUAUAUUUUCCAAUGUAUUUUUCAUUUUUAUUGUCAUCUGAUAUAUAUAUAUAUAGUUAUUCAAA